UCUUGAUCUGAAAAAUAUAUAAAAAAACAAUAAUAGAAUCAGAAAAUAUUGCAGAGAAGGAGGAGCAAGAUCAACGAGAAAAUGAAAUCUUUGCAGAAGCUGAUACCCAAUUCCAACAAGACAGAUAAAGCCUCAAUGCUUGAUGAAGCUAUAGAAUAUCUGAAGCAGCUUCAACUUCAAGUGCAGACUUUAGCUGUUAUGAAUGGUUUAGGCCUAAACUCUAUGCGACUACCACCAGUUCUACCGUCUACGCAUACAAGGUUCAAAUGGAACCUUACAACAAGAGCAGCACUUUGAGACUCUGCUUGGUGCUCCUCACUCGAUGGUUAACCGUGAACCACCCCAAGCAACUCAGGAAAUGUGCUUUUCCACAGGCACGCUGCUUUGAAGACAAAGAUGAUUCGAAGUCAACAUCUCCGGCUUAGUACACUACCAAACAGUAGUCAAAACUGU